GUUUCCUAUCAUAUAUACAGACUACACAAACCAAGUUGAAGGAAGUAACUGUGUUGAAAGACCAGAAGCAGAAGACACGAUGUUGUAUGAAUGUAGUAAUGACUCUCAGUGGCAGAGCACAUUGAUGUCACGCUACAGCUUGGAAAAUCAGCAAAACUUAGCAUGUGAACAGAAUAGAAACAUGGAAUUUAACCAGAAGAGUCCAGAAACAUCUUUAUACAAUGAGAUUCCCUUUUAAUAGGAAGGUCUUUUGAUAGU